rnacentral:rRNA from 1 species
UGGGGAAUAUUGCACAAUGGGCGAAAGCCUGAUGCAGCAACGCCGCGUGCGGGAUGACGGCCUUCGGGUUGUAAACCGCUUUCAGCAGGGACGAAGGUUUUCUGACGGUACCUGCAGAAGAAGCACCGGCUAACUACGUGCCAGCAGCCGCGGUGAUACGUAGGGUGCGAGCGUUGUCCGGAAUUAUUGGGCGUAAAGAGCUUGUAGGCGGUUCCGUUGCGUCGGAAGUGAAAACUCAGGGCUUAACCCUGAGCCUGCUUUCGAUACGGGCGGACUUGAGGGAUGUAGGGGAGAACGGAAUUCCUGGUGGAGCGGUGGAAUGCGCAGAUAUCAGGAGGAACACCAGUGGCGAAGGCGGUUCUCUGGACAUUUCCUGACGCUGAGAAGCGAAAGCGUGGGGNGCAAACAGGCUUAGAUACCCUGGUAGUCCACG